GAUGAAGAACGUAGCGAAAUGCGAUAAGUAGUGUGAAUUGCAGAAUUUAGUGAAUCAUCGAAUCUUUGAACGCACAUUGCGCCCUUUGGUAUUCCUUAGGGCAUGCCUGUUCGAGCGUCAUCUACACCCUCAAGCACAGCUUGGUGAUGGGCGCCUGUCCCGCCCCCCACGGGGGCGCGGACUCGCCUCAAAUGCAUUGGCGGCCGGCGACCUGGCUUCGAGCGCAGCAGAAACGCGUACUCGGGGACCGGGCGCCCGCUCCCAGAAGCCAACCCACCCAGUUUGACCUCGGAUCAGGUAGGGAUACCCGCUGAACUUAAGCAUAUCAAUAAGCGGAGGA
rnacentral:misc_RNA from 1 species